UCUACUCACUACUGUAAGUCGCUCUGGAUAAGAGUGUCUGCUAAAUGACUAAAA
rfam:Salmo salar isolate Sally breed double haploid chromosome ssa03, whole genome shotgun sequence.